AGAGUUUGAUCCUGGCUCAGGACGAACGCUGACGGUGUGCUUUAGACAUGCAAGUCGAACGAGAAAGCCCUUCGGGGUGAGUACAGUGGCGAACGGGUGAGUAACACGUGGGCAAUCUGCCCCUCGCAGGGGGACAACCGGAGGAAACUCCGGCUAAUACCCCGUACGCUCUACGGACCGCAUGGUCCAUAGAGGAAAGGUAGCUUCGGCCAUCCGGCGAGGGAUGAGCCCGCGUUCCAUUAGCUUGUUGGUGGGGUAAUGGCCCACCAAGGCGACGAUGGAUAGCUGGUCUGAGAGGAUGAUCAGCCACACUGGGACUGAGACACGGCCCAGACUCCUACGGGAGGCAGCAGUCGGGAAUCUUGCGCAAUGGGCGAAAGCCUGACGCAGCAACACCGUGUGUGUGAGGAAGGCCUUCGGGUCGUAAAGCACUGUUGUUAGGGACGAAGGGCGAGAGGUUAAUAGCCUCGAGCUUGACGGUACCUUUCGAGGAAGCCCCGGCUAACUACGUGCCAGCAGCCGCGGUAAUACGUAGGGGGCGAGCGUUGUCCGGAAUUAUUGGGCGUAAAGAGCGUGUAGGCGGUUCGGUAAGUCUGUUGUGAAAUCCUGGGGCUCAACCCUGGGCGUGCAACGGAUACUGCCGGGCUAGAGGGUGGUAGAGGCAAGUGGAAUUCCGAGUGUAGCGGUGAAAUGCGCAGAUAUUCGGAGGAACACCAGUAGCGAAGGCGGCUUGCUGGGCCACACCUGACGCUGAGACGCGAAAGCUAGGGGGAGCGAACAGGAUUAGAUACCCUGGUAGUCCUAGCCGUAAACGAUGGACACUAAGGUGUGGGCGGAGUCAAAUCUGUCUGUGCCGAAGCCAACGCGAAUAAGUGUCCCCGCCUGGGGGAGUACGGGCCGCAAGGGUUAAAACUUCAAAAGAAUUUGACGGGGGGCCCCCCACAAGCAGGCGGAAGCAUGGUUCUUUUAAUUCCAAUGCCAACGCGAAAAAAACCUUUACC
rnacentral:rRNA from 1 species